GGGGCUGGUAUCCUGGGACCUUCACGUGGUGGCCCUGUUUUCACUAACCUUACCAGGAUAAUCACUUUACUGCAGCUUGAAAGGAAAUGAAGAACUCUGAAGCGAUAUGUGAGGAACAUGAUGAUCAAAAUCUUUUACUAGAUUUAAUUGGUGGUGCUGAUUCUGAUGACAGUCCCCUCACCCCUAGGAAGCCUACUAGGUACAGAGGACAUGGUCAUGGCAUGAAGAAAGAGAGGACAUCUCAAGAUCCUGCAAGAAGCCAAAAACGGUCAUGGGCAGCAGCAGUAUGACAGUGUGAUGCACUGGAUCCAAACCUGCUAGACGGAAUUGCGAUAGGGAUUCCUGUGAUCAUCAUUCGUCAAAACAUUUGAUGUUAGAGAUGACAGUUCUAGAUGCAAAGUGUGAUUUAUACCCAUAAGUGAAGAAACCUGACAUGUGCAAUUUGCCUCUUGGGAAAUUUCUCAUUUCCUUGAAAUCUUGCCUUUUACGAUGCCUUUGACAGGCUUUUGCCUUGAAGUCAUUUUAUGUAGUGCAACUGUAGACUUGCACAUUUAAAUGCAAUUUUAAUUUAUCAGGUAUGAUAUUUCUUUGAAACAAUUGGUAUAUUUUUUGCAUUUAAACAAUCAAUUCAUUUAGUAAAAGUCCAUUUUUAAUAAGAUUUCAGUUGAACAGCAAGUCUAACACCUUGUAAUUUGAGUUUAAAGAUUUUGAUGACAAUUGCAUCAAAACUAGAUUCAAAUAUCAAAAAACCUGAAUUUUAUCUUUGAAGUACAUUUCUGAGCUCUUUUAAAAGAAGUCCACUUUUGUCAAAAUUUUAUAUUGCAAGGCUAACUAAAAUACCUUGAAUUUUUUCAAUUUUUGGGUUAGAUUUUAAAAAUGGUAAUAACUGCAUCAAAUAAUAAGAAGCGCUGUCAGGAAACAUGAAAUUUAUUUUGAAAUAUGUAUUUCUGAGAUCUUUUAGAAAGUCAUUUUGGAAGAAUAUAUCCAUAUUAAGAGUUUUCCAUACUUUGGUUUUUGCCAAUUAUCUGUUUACAGAAAUGUCCAUUGUACUCAAUUUUACUACUGCAGGUGCCAUCUCUGCUAGUUAAUCAAAACACUCGCUGGAGGUCACACACAACAAACAAACUCCAACUUCUUUUGAUAUUGUACAUGUAGUUCGUGAUUGGGUAGGCACAUUAUCUGAGGUUUUAUUUUAAGUUCUUUAUUUUAAAAUUCUUGUAGUUGUGGAUCCCAGUCCUUCUGCUCACCGAGUUGAAUUGUUUACUUGAAAUAUGUGUGUUAUAUGUAUCCGUCUAGAUCACAUGGGCUGCACAGCAUGCUUGUUCCAUUUUACAGGCCCGGGUACCAGACUUGCAGACAAUAAAUCAGCAGAAACAGA